CUCAAUUUGCCCAUCUAUAAAACGGUGGAUGAGAACCCCACAGCGUUGAGAUCACCAAAUGGACUUAGACAUGAGCUAUAUUAAUGCUGCAAAGGAAUAUUAUGAGAUUUGCAUGUAAACACCACUUAGCUCAGUGGGAAAUGUGUUGCAUGAGCUGUGGCGUGCAAGCGGGAAGUUAAGUGUGCAAAAGAGCACGUGCAGAGAACUGCCACUUGCACUGAUGCUGCAGAUGCAAUUCUGAACAUAAUUCUUCUUUUUUCUGUGCAGUUUUGCAGACCGGACCCCUCAACUGACCAUUUUCCUGCACACCUCAGAAAAGGAGAUCUAUUUGGACCCCGGCCAGCAAAAUGAUUAGAAAAGCCUUCAUCUCCUUGGGAUCCUCUCAGCUUGCAGAGAAAAGGACAGCUUCUCCGGUGGGGACGACUGAUUGCCUUGGCAAACCAGGACAGCAGUUUUAAAGGCUUGGUCGCAGAGCCAACACAGCUCUGAUAGUCUGGAUUGACUUUUGUUUACAAUUUACAAAAACAGACAAAGCAAAAACAAAAGGAAAUCUUCAUAUGAGAGAAAGAGAGAGAGAGCACAGUGUAUGCAACUCCUUCUGUAACAGCCAUCCUGAACUGACAAACAGCACUGCUUCUAGUGGGAAGAGAAGAAGACACAAUCCAUUUGAAGGUGCUGUACAUGUGAGAUGUUAUCUGAUUAAAAUAUGACCAUGUAGACCAUUGUUACUA